CGGACGGGUGAGUAACACGUGGAUAACCUACCUAUAAGACUGGGAUAACUUCGGGAAACCGGAGCUAAUACCGGAUAAUAUAUUGAACCGCAUGGUUCAAUAGUGAAAGACGGUUUUGCUGUCACUUAUAGAUGGAUCCGCGCCGCAUUAGCUAGUUGGUAAGGUAACGGCUUACCAAGGCAACGAUGCGUAGCCGACCUGAGGAGGGUGAUCGGCCACACUGGAACUGAGACACGGUCCAG
rnacentral:rRNA from 1 species